AGGAGACAACAGAACUGAAGGGAGGUCCUUUUAUAGUACAUGAUGCCCCAACUUCAAUAAUGGACUAAUGACCCCCGGAAUCCCACCGCUAUAGCCUUCACUUCCCCAGGAAUUCCUGUUGCAGGCGUCUCUCAAUGAAGACCACAAACAGGAAAUGGAGGAGUAGGGAGUUGCCUGACAUCCUGGAAACUACGUUCUUAAGAACUGCAGGCAAUGGGCGAGAGUUCUAAUAUAUGGAACAGUUACAGGACACUAAGUUCUAGAGCAAUUCAUCUCCAGAACAAAAACUGAAAUGGAAGCAAGAAAAAAAAUAAGAGCAAAUAGCCAAGUCCCCUGUGACUCUCCAACUUGAAGUUGCAAAGACUUGGAAGUCCUCACCCA